ACCAGACUCCUACGGGAGGCAGCAGUGGGGAAUAUUGCACAAUGGGGGAAACCCUGAUGCAGCAACGCCGCGUGGGUGAAGAAGUAUUUCGGUAUGUAAAGCUCUAUCAGCAGGGAAGAAGAAGGACGGUACCUGACUAAGAAGCCCCGGCUAACUACGUGCCAGCAGCCGCGGUAAUACGUAGGGGGCGAGCGUUAUCCGGAUUUACUGGGUGUAAAGGGAGCGUAGACGGUUAAUCAAGUCUGAAGUGAAAGCCCGCGGCUCAACUGCGGAACGGCUUUGGAAACUGAGUAACUGGAGUGCUGGAGGGGCAGGCGGAAUUCCUGGUGUAGCGGUGAAAUGCGUAGAUAUUAGGAGGAACACCAGUGGCGAAGGCGGCCUGCUGGGCUUUAACUGACGCUGAGGCUCGAAAGCGUGGGGAGCAAACAGGAUUAGAUACCCCAGUAG
rnacentral:rRNA from 1 species